GUGAAAGCCCGGGGCUCAACCUCGGAACCGCAUUUGAAACUGGCAGGCUAGAGUCUUGUAGAGGGGGGUAGAAUUUCAGGUGUAGCGGUGAAAUGCGUAGAGAUCUGAAGGAAUACCAGUGGCGAAGGCGGCCCCCUGGACAAAGACUGACGCUCAGAUGCGAAAGCGUGGGUAGCAAACAGGAUUAGAUACCCUGGUAGUCCACGCCGUAAACGCUGUCUACUUGGAGGUUGAGGUUUAGACUUUGGCUUUCGGCGCUAACGCAUUAAGUAGACCGCCUGGGGAGUACGGCCGCAAGGUUAAAACUCAAAUGAAUUGACGGGGGCCCGCACAAGCGGUGGAGCAUGUGGUUUAAUUCGAUGCAACGCGAAGAACCUUACCUACUCUUGACAUCCAGAGAACUUUCCAGAGAUGGAUUGGUGCCUUCGGGAACUCUGAGACAGGUGCUGCAUGGCUGUCGUCAGCUCGUGUCGUGAAAUGUUGGGUUAAGUCCCGCAACGAGCGCAACCCUUAUCCUUGUUUGCCAGCACGUAAUGGUGGGAACUCCAGGGAGACUGCCGGUGAUAAACCGGAGGAAGGUGGGGACGACGUCAAGUCAUCAUGGCCCUUACGAGUAGGGCUACACACGUGCUACAAUGGCAGAUACAGAGGGCAGCGAAGCUGCGAAGUGGAGCGAAUCCCUUAAAGUUUGUCGUAGUCCGGAUUGGAGUCUGCAACUCGA
rnacentral:rRNA from 1 species